rnacentral:rRNA from 1 species
UACAGAGGGUGCGAGCGUUGUCCGGAAUUACUGGGCGUAAAGCGCGUGUAGGCGGCUCGGCAAGUCGGGUGUGAAAGCCCUGGGCUUAACCUAGGAAGUGCACUCGAAACUGCCAAGCUUGAGUUCUGGAGAGGAAGGCGGAAUUCUCGGUGUAGAGGUGAAAUUCGUAGAUAUCGAGAGGAACACCGGUGGCGAAGGCGGCCUUCUGGACAGCAACUGACGCUGAGACGCGAAAGCGUGGGGAGCAAACAGG